rnacentral:tRNA from 13 species
GGUCAGUUGGCAGAGAUGGUUUAUGCACUCGCUUCAUACGUGAGACUACAGUGGUUCGAGUCCACUAUUGACCACCA